UUUCUUAUGUAACUCCAUUUUUCAAGGCCAAAGAAGAAAUUGAGUUCAAAUUUAGUAAGACUCACCUUGGUUCGGCUUCAUUGUCUUCCCUACUAAAACCAAAUUGCACGAAGUAAUUUGGAAAACUUUGACACGGUUGGCACGUGUGAAGGCCAGCAAGUUCUUAAAAAAAAUAAAAGAAAAUUAAAAAAAAAAAAUAGAGAGAGAACGGUGCAUGGUCUCGUGUCCGCGGACGGUUCACAAUUAAGCAAGUGGACCUCCUGUGGGCUUCUGUCCUGUAAGCUGCUAAGCUACCGGGGGAGGGGCUCGAUUCGCGUCGAACCAAAACCAGCCACGCCGGAAGACUCGCGAGCACCAUCUCACUCUGCCUGAUUUCCAAAUGGCGGCAAUGGCGUUUUCCUUUACGCCCACACUUCUAUCUUUCAACAGUAUGCUCUUAUCUCUCUCUCUCUCUCUCUCUCUCUCUUGAUUUUUGCAGGGAAGUAUUUAUGUAUGUUUAAUCGUUUUUAUGCUUUUAAUCUGUGGAUGGUUAACUUCUUGGUUUUAUAAUUUAGUUUCUGUUUGGUUGCUGAGAAAACGGGGUGUAAGAGAACAAGAGUGUAAUUGGAUACGGAUAAUGAGUAUCCGGCUUCGACAAUAUGAAAUACCGAUUUCAGUUAGUUUAAGUAAUCGAGCUAGAGUUAAUCGGAUUAUUAU
rnacentral:lncRNA from 1 species